rnacentral:lncRNA from 1 species
UUGAUAGGGAGGUCAACUCCCACAUUCCAUUGGAUAUGAAUGAGCCAUACUCCUCUUGUAUAUCUGCCUUCUACUUGCUUGCAUCAUGUUGUGACAAGAUGUGAAUCUUUGACCACUCUCUAGGUAGCCGGCGCUCUCUUUCAAGAUAACAAUGCUCUUUGAUGGGAUGCCUCUAUUGAAUGGUGCUUGAUUUAGGCCUGGUUGCUUUGCUUGAGGUGAUUUGAAGUUGAGGUGUUGAAAAAUAUCCUUGAGCAUCUUGCUUCCCAACUUGUUUGUUCUUGUUGAAAUCCUCCAUGCCUUUAUCCUCCUCAUCAUCAUCAAAAGAAGGUGAUUUGGAAGAUUUGUCUAUAAUCACCAUUGUGUCGAUGGAGCUCUCAUUUCUCCCACUUAGAAGCAUCUCCAAAUCUUUGCCAACACUAGUAUUAUCCUCAAUAAACACAACGUUGUCGUUUGGCAUGAUUUACAAAUUAGAAAUAUAUUAGAUAUCUAGUUGUAGAAAGUUUGGUUUUAACUUAUUAGCUAAACUCCAAUAAGUAAUUUAUUCCAUCUUUAACUUAUAAACAAAGUCUUAACUCCCAAAACCUGUUUACUUUAUAUAAAAUCACUAAAUUGUAGCAAAAUCCCUCUUAACAUAUUUUUUCCACAUAUGAUUUCUUCUUUUCAAACUUUAGAAAAUCAUAUCUCUUCAUUCAACUGUUCACUUUUUCUCAAAUUUCUAGAUAGUAUAGUACUUAUUCUUAAGCUUUAUCAAAAAAAAAAAAAAAAAAAAAAAAAAAAAAACCAUAAAUUCACUACCGAUCUUUUGGCAUCGUAGAAAUUAUAGCAGGUGCUCUAAACUCUAACUUAUAAGCACUCGUGCACUAUUUUCUUCAUAUCUCAAGAAUCCGAAAUUCAAAUAUUACAAAAUUUAUACAUAAAGCUUACUUACAUAAAUAUACACAUUCUAAAAAAUUUUGAGUCAAAAUCUUGUCAAAUUGCUCUAGAUACACCUCAAAACACAACCACUAGUAAACCGGGUCAUUUACUACCAUUAGAUUGCAAGUACUAACUUCAACCUUGAAUAUCUCAUUUUAUUAAACUUGUAAUCUAAUAAAUAGUAUACCAAAAGUAUAGCCGAAAAAGUCUUCUUUUUAACCGCAGUCACCAAUCCUUCAUUGUUUUUUGUACGCAUGCGUUAUGUCUAAAAGUGUGAUAGUAGGUACAAGUUUGAUACCUUAAUUUUCAGCGCCUAUAUCUCCUUUAUAUAAACUCCAAAUCAUACAAAAUUUCUACCAAAACCAUAACCAAAAAACUGAACUUGCUGACCUUAGCCUCAAAAGUUCGAAUUCUUCCAAAAAACUAAUCCUAAUCCCUAAUAUGGCCUCGAGCAACCUCCUUGAAGGCCAUUGGGCAUGAUUUUUAGCUAAUAGGAAUGGAGAUUUUCCUCAUCCAUCUCCAUACAUUCAUAUUGAUGCCCUAACCCUUCUUUUAACUACCAAAAUCCCUCUUCAAUCUUUUUUCUUAUAAGAUCUACAUAAUAUAUGUCCUAAGCAUCAAUUAAAAGAAUCAAAAUAAGAUUUUAAGGAUCACCAAUGUCUAAAAAAGGUGAUUCUAAAUGUAUAAAAGUUUCUACCAACAAAAUCAACUUCAAAAGCCACAAUCAAAAGAAAAUAAAAUUAUACAAAUUCUAAUUGUAACUCUUUUAAACAACCUCUCUUCAAGGUAGUAACCUAACCACAUUCUACAACUAACUAAAAUCCACUAACAUAACUCUCAUCAUGUAACUUACUAAAUUAUACAUUAAAUAUAUAAGCAUAUAAUUUUUACAUGAUAACCAAACCACAACAUAAUAAUGUUGUCAUAUUACGUGAAUUCUUGCUCCAGAAUGCAUUGAGCACCUAGUUGUGGAAGGUAAAAGAGAAAUACACUAACAAGAUGUUAAUAACUCUAAUGGACUCCUAAAUAAAUUCUAAUUAAUCUUUAAUAAUAUUAAUCAAGUUUUAAUUUAAUAUAAAAGAUAUCUUAAAGAUAUACUAAAAAUAGAAAUCUUUAUCAAAUCCUAAUAACUCUGAGUCAAAUCUUAAUAAAAUUUAAUAUAAUCUUAAUCAAACCUUAUUCUUAUUCUAGUCAAAUCUUAGUCAAAUCUUAGUCAAAUCCUAAUCAAACCUUAGUCAAAUCUUAAUGAAAUCCUAAAUCCUAACCAAAUCCUAGACCAAUCUUAAAUCCUAAUUAAAUCCUAAUCCAAUCCUAAAUCCUAAGAAAAUCUUAACCAAACCAUAUCCGAAUCCUAAAUCCUAAGCAAACCCUAGAUAAACCCUCAACAAAUCCUAAAUCCUAACCUUAAUCUAAUCAUAGAUCAAAUCCUAAAUCCAAAGAAAAUCCAAAUCCUAAUCAAAUCCUAAUCAAUUUUUAAUCAAACACUAAAUCUCAAAUAAUUUUCUAACAACCUUACAACAGAUUUUGAAAUUCAAUAACUAAUGUUUAAAUCAUUGAUUUCAAGUCAAAUUUUGCACACUUCUGAACAAUUAGAUUAACAAUAAGCAUAAAAAAUAAAUUAAAGAGGAUUGGACUUACCAAAUGAACGAUAAUCUCAAACAUGUGCUUAGGUAUUGGCUAGCCUCUUUUUCCAACCUUGGUGCCAAUCUCCUAGAGCAAAUUACUCCUGAUUGAACUGUUCAUUUGCUUCCAAAAUUUACACACUUGUUUGAAAUCAAGCUCACUACCUCCAUGCAAAGUUUUGCUUCAAUCUAAUAGGCGGAUUGACAGAUAUCAAAGAAAUCCUUAUUGGUCCUCAAAACCUUAAACCUCAAUCCACUUAACCUCAAUAUUCUUUAAUUUAACCAUUUGAUUGAGUCUAAUUUUACAACAAGCAUUGAAAACAAUUACGUUCACAAAUCCUUAAUAUUUCACUUAUAGAUCUCAUACAAAACUUCCAAAAUUAUCCAAAAUAUCAAUUCAAUUAUAUUUCUCAAAACCCCAGUCAUCCAAAAACAACCUCGACUUUGCAAAGCUCUUACAAAGUCAAUAAUCACUCAAAUCAUCCAAAAUCAAUGCCUAUCAAAACUCUCUCAAGUCUGCUCCCUAAUUCCACUCUUGGAUUUCUAAAAGAACCCUCUAGUUAUUGUAGGCAAGCAGUUUUGUGCCUUGGGAUCUGAUUUUGAUCCUAAUUGGCAAUUGGUCCCAUUUGGGUAUCAACUCUUCUUUUUUUUAGGUAAUUUUUUCUAAAAUCUUUUUUCAACUCCUUUCUAAAGAUGCCUAUAUUUUUUAUUUUUCUAAUCCACUUUUUUUUGCCUUAUUAAUUGCUAUACAAAGUAAAUAGAAGUCACUUUUCUAAAAAUGCAACAUUACUACUAAAGCUUUUACUUCAUUACUAUCUUUUAUCUAUAUUUUGGUACUUUAUAUUUUAACUUCGCUCUUCUAUGAUAAGAUCCAUAUUUUUAUCUUUUGCCAUAUAGUCGUGAUACAACACAAUAACAUUCCUACACUUCAUGAUCUUUUUAGUUUCAAUAUUCGUGAAUAUAUAUAUAUAUAUAUAUAUAUAUAUAUAUAUGCUUUCGUGCUUUCACAAUACCCAAGGAAGAUGGAUUUUUAUCCUUUGGCAUCAAGCUUGAUCAUCUUUUCAUCUGACAUCAUGGCAAAUCUAAUACACUUAAACACACGCAUAGGCUCAAUAUGGAGCCAUCUUCCAUUCCAUGCCUCCUCGGGUGUGGUGGACUCCAAUGCCUUUGUUGGACAUCGAUUGCGUGUGUACAUUGCGUCCACCACUGCAUCCACCAAAAACUCAAACUUGAGACAUUGUGCAUAGAUCAUAUUCUUUGCCAUCUCCAUAAUAGGAGAAUUUGUACACUCUGCUACUCCAUUUUAUUAAAGUGUCUAGGGAGUAGACGUUUCCAUCUCGAUGCCAUAUUUUUUCAAGAAGUAUUCAAAUCUCUUGGAUAUGUACUCUCUACCAUUGUCCAAUCAAAACACCUUAUUUUGAUACUCCGAUUGGAUUUCUGCAAGUGCCUUGAACUCCUUCAAUGUCUCUAAACACUUGUUCUUUGACUUCAAGAUGUAUAUCCACACCUUCAUCAAGAAAUCAUCAAUGAAGGUCAAGAAAUACCUUUUGCCACCAAAAGACGUGGUCUUCAUGGAGACACAUACAUCCAAAUGCACAAUCUUAAGGGAUUUGGUAGCACGCCUUGUUUCAUCUCUUAAAUAGCUCGCCCUAUGGUAUUUAUCCUUGAUGCAUCCUUUACAAACCAAAUUCAAUGAAGAGUACAGGGAUUUGCCAAGGUCCAUGCCACUCACCAUAUUUUAGAGCGUACACACUCCCUUCACAUUCAAAUGACCAAUUUGGCGAUGCCAAAGCUCCAAUGCCUCUUGAUUUGAUGAAGAUUGUGCCACAUUCACCUCGUCUAUCACAUGCAUCUUUGAAAACGUAAUUUGGUAUAAAUUGCCUUCAUGGGACGCUCUUACAACAAAUUCUCCACUUAGAGCACUCACAAUACAUCCAUCCAUGUUAAAAUAUACCUUCAAUCCACUUAACAUGAGCUUGCUCAUCGAAAGCAAAUUUGCUUGUAACUUGGCUAUAUGGAAUACCUCCAUGAUUCAAACCCUCUUGCUAACUUCUUUUACCACUACUUUCAUAAUAAUGUAGUCCAUGCCAAUGGCCUCCAUAAUGCUAUCAUCAUCCAAAUACACAUUUCAUUUAAAAAUUAUCUUAUAAGUAUAGAAUGGUAUCUGAUGAGAAGUCAUAUGCUUCGUAGCUCCCAAAUCCAUGAUCUACUUGCAUAUGGCCUUGAAAUACACUCCACUUAGGAUUAUAAAUGUAUAAUCGUCAUCAUCGUCUUUAGCAAUCUUAGCAUCAAUCUUCUCCUUGUCAUUGUUCUUGGCCUUGAAGCAAAAAUGGGCAAUGUGGUUCAGUUUGCCAUAAUAGUAACAAGUCUUGAUGUCUUUACAUGUAGAUGGAUUUCCACCCUUGUCUGAACAUGACACCAUGGUGGUAUCUUCACCUUAGAAUUCUUUUUCCUUCCUCUUGGUCAUCUCAUGCAUCAAUCGCAUUGUCACAAAUUCCAUGGUGAGUUCUUUUACGUGCAUUACCUCCAAGAUGGUGAUCAAGUUGUCAAAAGAUGAUGGCAAGCUUGUAAGCAAGAUCGUGACUACUUCAUCUUUUAGGGGCACCUCCAAGCAAACUAGUUGUUUGGCAAGUGCUUUGACUUUGCUAAUAUGAUAUAAUAAGUCCUCUCUCUCUUGCAUCUUAGCAUCAAAGAACUUGUGUCAAAUGAAGAGGAUGUUGGACAAGCUCUUAAAUUCGUGGAUGUUAUAAAGCAUGUUCCAUGCCUCUGUGGGUCCCUUGCAAAGUUUGAUGUGUCAAAGUUGACUAUCUACCAAGUUUAGUGCGAUGGGAGACAUUAUCGUGCAAACUCACUUUCGAUACUCAGUCUUGAUUUUGAGGUUGGCAUUAGAAGGUUGAGGCUCUUUGAUGCCCUUCACAAUCUUCCAAAUUUCCAAGGAAGCAAAGAACAUCUCAAUUUUGAACUUCCAAAGGUUGAAGUUCUCUCUAUUGAAUUUUUCAAUGACUAUAGUCCUCUCAUCCUCAAAGGAUGCUAACUCUUAAUUGAAUAUAUUGCAAAACAAUCCCAAGUUAUACCAAAGAAGCACUCUUAUUCUCAAAUACUUCAAAUCAGCUUGUUCUAAGUUCAAAGUUACACUUUUACACCUCAAACACUCUAAUCAAUCCUUUUACAGCUCAAAUAUAUACAUAUGCAUUCCAAAUAUCAAAUUAGCUUCUAUUUGGCUCAAAUGUGCAAUUAUGCACCUUAUAUACUCAAAUUAAUCCAUAUUUGGAUCAAAUGUACAAUUAUGCACCUUAUAUAUUCAAAUUAAUCCAUAUUUGGAUCAAAUGUGUACUUAUGUACUCUAAUCACUCAAAUCAAUGCCUACCUAGUUGAAAUGGAUAGUAUUGUAUCUAGAAUCACUGAAGUCAUUCUUAAUAUGACUCAAAUGUUUAUUCAUGUAUCUGAAUCACUCAAAAGAAGACCAAUAGAGUACUUACAAGCUUUAACCUUACAAAAUGCACUUGCAAUGCUUUGAAUGGCUUCUAAGUAUUCCAAAUAUUGACUUCGGCACCUCUCAAAUUCCAUAUGCUACCAAAGAUUGCUAAAUGCACAUCCAUGCACCUUCAACAUUUCAAAAAGGCUACCAAGUGUGCACAAAUGCACCUUCAACAUUUCAAAAAGGCUACCAAGUGUGCACAAAUGCACCUCCAACAUAUAAAAGCACUUAAAGAUCUUCCUUCUAACAAACUCAUAAUCAAACCUCCAAAAUUGCAACUCACAUCAAUGGAUCAAUAACCUAUUGGAAUACAAUAGGAUUAGAAGAAAGAAGACACAAGUUCAAGUACUUAGACCACACAAGUAUGUGAACAAAUAAUUAGAUUGAGAUACAAGUCCCUUAUAAUCCUUAAUCUUUAUUCUUCACCAAGUAGACUAGCAUCCAUAACAAAUAUGGGACAUCUCCUCAUCUUAUUUCUUAUUCUAAUAUAUUCAUGGUGCUAACAUACUCCAAAUCGAUCUAUCUCUAUGAUUAAUUGCAAUUCAUAUUUAUAUAUCUAAUAUCUUCAACACUACCUCUUUGAGUACGUUGUCUGUGAAUGGUAGUGGGAAUGGGUACUUCGGAGUCACGUGAUUCAACUUAUGAUAAUUUGCUCAUAUUCAAAGUUUUCCAUUCUUUUUUGGUAUGUGAGAAUCACCCUCGGUAGCUUCGAAUUACCAAAGCGAUGUAGAUCUGGACGAUCCAAUCGAACGAGGAGGAUCGAUGGCAAGGUCGAAGAAAUGGCGAAGGAUUUUGGAGCCCGGGAGUCGAAGGAGGUCUGUUUAAGGAAAAGCGACAAGUCCAAGGGAGAGAGCUAGUCCAGGGAGAUGAGGCUAGUUCGAUAGACAUGAAGAGAUCAGAGAAGAGUUGCAGAUCCCUCUAUGUAAGUGUGACCUAGGACCUUCCGAAAGUAGAAUGUGAGACUGACAUUGGCGAUAGUCGAGUGCUAAUAAUGCAGGAUGGGACUAAGUCCAGUAUAUAUACAAUGUUGAAGUAAAGUUCUGUCAUUGAUCGAACAUCUCCUAUAUGCAGUCUAUGAUUGUAUCGAGUCAAAUAAAGUAAUUCAAAGGAAGAUAUUAUGCCAAAGAUAUUCAAGGUACUCCCUUCAGAUCCUUGUAAGACCACACAAAUACGUCCCUAUACUCUUUUACCAGUUUGUUGUAUGCAUAUAUUUUCUCUUCACUCAAUUGGGCCUCCAUUUUUAUUUGUCUAGGCUCCUCUCCAUCCAUUUCUAUUAUGGCAUACUCCCAAUCACUUUUCGCAAAAUGAGUUUCUUCGGUAUUAUUUCUAUAAUAGUUUGAAAGUACCUUUGAAUAAUCAUGGACAUUCUCUCCUACUUUGAUUCCUGAGGAUGUGGUUUUAAAAUGUAUGGAAUUUUUUAGCAAUGUCUCCUCCUUUAAGACAUCUUCCUCUUGCAUGCCAUCUAUCAGCAAUGAGUACAUGCUCUCACACUCUAUAUCAUCAAGGAAAAGUUACAAUCCUCCCACUAACUAUGUUAACUCAUCAGAGACAUCAUCAAUACCUCGAAAACUGAAGAUCACAUCUAUUCCUACUUCUCCCUCUUCUAGAGUUUCCUCAAUAAAAUUUAUGGUCUUUCUCUCAUCUGAAGCUAAGUCAGAGUGUUCCUCCAAUCAUUGAGUAUACUCCCCAUCAACCUUUCAAUAAUAAAGAUUAGGGCCUAAACACCCUAACCCAUCUACACCUAAACCUAGACUCGUCUUUCUUACUUGUAUUGCCUCCACUAGUACCUUGCCUUUCUUUAAAGAUGAUUCCAUGUCCACGUCAUCAAAAGAUGAAUCUUGAUUCCCUAUCAGAAGUGAAGUUGGUCUAAUACACACUUUCGUUUGAUUUUAGGUAGGUCCAUAAA